ACCUGAGUAAUACCUGGCUCAUCCUCCACGUUAGAUGUGCACACAUAUAUUCAAAAUAAAAAAGUUACAAAACUAGUCAGCACCAGAAGAAAGUAUAUGGCUGCACUAGAGGAAUUUUGGACGUUUACCAAUGUUGCUUUUCAGGAGUCACCUGCACCUCCUGAGCAAGGAGACAGGCACCAAGUAGCUCAGCUCCAGCUGCUGUGA
rnacentral:lncRNA from 1 species